UGAGGAACAUGACUUUCGGUGGGGGAGUAGCCGGCCCAACGGCCGGGUAAUACCGCGUACGACCUCUUGGGGACGAUCCCCGAGUGGUGAAAGCAGCAAUGCGCCGAAAGAGUGCCUCGCGGCCUAUCAGCUAGUUGGUGGGGUAAUGGCUCACCAAGGCGACGACGGGUAGCUGGUCUGAGAGGAUGGCCAGCCACAUUGGGACUGAGACACGGCCCAGACUCCUACGGGAGCAG
rnacentral:rRNA from 1 species